rnacentral:rRNA from 1 species
UAGAGUUUGAUCAUGGCUCAGGAUGAACGCUAGCGGCAGGCUUAACACAUGCAAGUCGAGGGGCAGCGGGGAGGUAGCAAUACUUCCGCCGGCGACCGGCGCACGGGUGAGUAGCACGUAUGGAACCUGCCCGUAGCAGGGGGAUAAGCGGAAGAAAUUCCGUCUAAUACCGCGUAAUAACUCCGAGAGGCAUCUCAUGGGGUUUAAAGGGUGACACCGGCUACGGAUGGCCAUGCGGCGCAUUAGCUAGUUGGCGGGGUAACGGCCCACCAAGGCGACGAUGCGUAGGGGUUCUGAGAGGAAGGUCCCCCACACUGGUACUGAGACACGGACCAGACUCCUACGGGAGGCAGCAGUGAGGAAUAUUGGUCAAUGGGCGCGAGCCUGAACCAGCCAAGUCGCGUGAGGGAAGACGGUCCUAUGGAUUGUAAACCUCUUUUGUCGGGGAGCAAAAGACGCCACGUGUGGCGUUCCGAGAGUACCCGAAGAAAAAGCAUCGGCUAACUCCGUGCCAGCAGCCGCGGUAAUACGGAGGAUGCGAGCGUUAUCCGGAUUUAUUGGGUUUAAAGGGUGCGCAGGCGGAUUUUUAAGUCAGCGGUCAAAUCGUGGGGCUCAACCCCAUCCAGCCGUUGAAACUGGGGAUCUAGAGUGUGCGAGAGGUAUGCGGAAUGCGUGGUGUAGCGGUGAAAUGCAUAGAUAUCACGCAGAACCCCGAUUGCGAAGGCAGCAUACCGGUGCACAACUGACGCUCAGGCACGAAAGCGUGGGUAUCGAACAGGAUUAGAUACCCUGGUAGUCCACGCAGUAAACGAUGAAUGCUACCUGUUUGGCCAGAUUGAUGGCUGAGCGGGACAGCGAAAGCGUUAAGCAUUCCACCUGGGGAGUACGCCGGCAACGGU